rnacentral:rRNA from 1 species
AUGAAUAUGCUCAGUUGGAACUGCCGGGGGGCGGGGAACUCCCGGACAGUUUGUGAAGUAGCGCCGUUUAUUCAGUCGCAUUCCCCCGGUUUGGUCUUGUUGUGUGAAACAAGACAAUCAAAAGAAAAUAUGAAAAGACACCGCGCUAAAUUUGGUCUGAAGGGUUUUGAUGGUACUGAUAGUAAUGGUAACAAUGGAGGAUUAGCUCUAUAUUGGCAUGAGGGGAUUACAGUAGAUGUGAUUUUCUCAAAUGAGAGAUGCAUUGAUGCUCAUGUUAAGCUGGGACCAGAGGAGGCACAAUGGAGGUUAACAUGUGUGUAUGGGGAAUCCAGAGCGGAAGAUAGGCAUAAAAUGUGGUCUAUGCUAAAUAACCUCAGUACCCAAUCUGGCCUUCCCUGGCUUGUGGGGGGGGGGGGAUUUUAA